AGAACGAACGCUGGCGGCGUGCUUAACACAUGCAAGUCGAACGCGAAAGUUUUCUUCGGAAAGCGAGUAGAGUGGCGCACGGGUGAGUAACGCGUAAAUAAUCUACCCCUGCAUUUGGGAUAACCCACCGAAAGGUGAGCUAAUACCGGAUACGUUCUUUAGAUUGCGAGAUUUAGAGAAGAAAGGUGGCCUCUGAUAUAAGCUACUGUGCGGGGAGGAGUUUGCGUACCAUUAGCUAGUUGGUAGGGUAAUGGCCUACCAAGGCGACGAUGGUUAGCGGGUCUGAGAGGAUGAUCCGCCACACUGGAACUGGAACACGGACCAGACUCCUACGGGAGGCAGCAGUGAGGAAUAUUGCGCAGUGGGGGCAACCCUGACGCAGCGACGCCGCGUGGAUGAUGAAGGCCUUCGGGUCGUAAAAUCCUGUCAGAUGGAAAGAAGUGCUAUAUGAAUAAUACUUGUAUAGUUUGACGGUACCAUCAAAGGAAGCACCGGCUAACUCCGUGCCAGCAGCCGCGGUAAUACGGAGGGUGCAAGCGUUGUUCGGAAUUACUGGGCGUAAAGCGCGCGUAGGUGGUUUGUUAUGUCAGAUGUGAAAGUCCACGGCUCAACCGUGGAAGUGCAUUUGAAACUGGCAAACUUGAGUACUGGAGGGGGUAGUGGAAUUCCCGGUGUAGAGGUGAAAUUCGUAGAUAUCGGGAGGAAUACCGGUGGCGAAGGCGACUACCUGGCCAGAUACUGACACUGAGGUGCGAAAGCGUGGGGAGCAAACAGGAUUAGAUACCCUGGUAGUCCACGCCGUAAACGAUGUCAACUAGGUGUUGGGAUGGUUAAUCG
rnacentral:rRNA from 1 species